rnacentral:lncRNA from 1 species
UAUAUGAGCUGCGUCGGAUAGAAAUCGACCUUAUGCAAACAUAUCAAUACCUCUGUUAACCUAUUUUGGGUUAAAAUAAUUUCUACGGAAAGUCUGUAAUUGUUCCAAAAGUAUGUUUUCAUAAGAAGACAACCCUUUUAAACGGACCAAAAUGCAGCUUUUAUAUCUUAGCUAUUCCAAAAUCGAUCAAAGUCUUAGAUAUAUAUAUGUGUACAUGCACUUGCAUAAGGUCGAUUUCUAUCCGACGCAGC